rnacentral:tRNA from 1 species
GCGGGUGUAGCUCAGUUGGUUAGAGCAUCAGGUUGUGGUUCUGAGGGUUGCGGGUUCGAUUCCCGUCACUCGCC